GCCAUGGUCCACAAAUAUGACACAGAGCGAGCAGUGGGACUGCUGUCAGAGUACCAGGCCAGCCUCACCCACCCAGAAGAGGAGGCUCUGAAGAACAAUGUGGGGAAGGUGUCUGCCAUCUUUGGCAGUCAACUCUUUCAAGCUCUGCUGGAUAUCCAGGAAUGCUAUGAAGUGACCCUGCAGCUGA